AAGAGGGAAGCAUAUCAGGAAAAUCUGAGUGCAAUGGUUUAGGAAUUGGGAAAGUAUAAAAGGUAUAGCACAACAGCACUAGACAACUGAGGUAGUCACCUACCUAAGGAGAGAUGCCAAGGACAAGUUGGCCAGCUAAACACUUUCUCCAGAAAUGGGAUUUAUAGUUUUGCUAAUUUCUUUAAUAUCAGAAGACAGCUGGAUUCUCAUUUCUGCUUCUGCAUUCAGUCUAUUGUGAUAUAGCAUAUCAUGUAACUUCUGAAAAACUUCACUGUACACAGAUGCUGACCUCACAGACUCCCUGAAAGGAUCUCCAUGACCUCUAUGGUUCCUUAGACUGCACUUUGAGAACUAUUGACGUACAGGGAAAAAUGCUCUUGGUGCCAAGAAGGGAUUCCGAAGAUAGAAGAGGAGGCAUCAACACCGUGAACAUCAUGGCUGAGUUAUUUUGUGAGAGGGAUAAGCCUAAAGUAAAAACCUUGGAUUUGCCUCUGUCCUUGAACAUGCUAUCUGGAAAGAGUUUUCUUAAAAGUAUUGUUGUGAACACAUCCAUUUUCCCAGUAUAGUUGAAUGCAGGGUUUAAUAAAUGGAAUGAAUCUAGUUUUAGUUCCUGUACUGCUU
rnacentral:lncRNA from 1 species